AAUCCAUAGGUUAAUGAGGCGAACCGGGGGAACUGAAACAUCUAAGUACCCCGAGGAAAAGAAAUCAACCGAGAUUCCCCCAGUAGCGGCGAGCGAACGGGGAGGAGCCCAGAGCCUGAAUCAGCAUGUGUGUUAGUGGAAGCGUCUGGAAAGGCGCGCGAUACAGGGUGACAGCCCCGUACACAAAAGCGCAUGUGCUGUGAGCUCGAUGAGUAGGGCGGGACACGUGGUAUCCUGUCUGAAUAUGGGGGGACCAUCCUCCAAGGCUAAAUACUCCUGACUGACCGAUAGUGAACCAGUACCGUGAGGGAAAGGCGAAAAGAACCCCGGCGAGGGGAGUGAAAAAGAACCUGAAACCGUGUACGUACAAGCAGUGGGAGCACAGGUUUACCUGUGUGACUGCGUACCUUUUGUAUAAUGGGUCAGCGACUUAUAUUCUGUAGCAAGGUUAACCGAAUAGGGGAGCCGGAGGGAAACCGAGUCUUAAUUGGGCGUUAAGUUGCAGGGUAUAGACCCGAAACCCGGUGAUCUAGCCAUGGGCAGGUUGAAGGUUGGGUAACACUAACUGGAGGACCGAACCGACUAAUGUUGAAAAAUUAGCGGAUGACCUGUGGCUGGGGGUGAAAGGCCAAUCAAACCGGGAGAUAGCUGGUUCUCCCCGAAAGCUAUUUAGGUAGC
rnacentral:rRNA from 1 species